rnacentral:tRNA from 1 species
AGUUUGAAAGUUUAAAACAUUAAGUUGCAAACUUAAAUUUGCUUAUAGCUCGGGCUA